GUUGUUUGUGACCUUAGGGAAAUUUAUUUGGAUAUGCCGAUUAUGGUCUCAUUGAGAUUUACCAGACCUUCAUUCAAUUUCAGCACAUUUUUUACGUUCCAUUUAUGGACUUUAUGCUGUUCGUUCUGUGCGUCCGUUCGUUCUUCCGUUCAUCCGUCUGUUCCGCUUCAGGUUAAAGUUUUUUGGUAAAGGUAGUUUUUGAUGAAGUUGCAGUCUAAUCAAUUUGAAACACAGUACACAUAUUCCA
rnacentral:lncRNA from 1 species